GAUUUUUAACGCGUAUAUUGGCAAAUAUACAACAGUCGGACGUUUGCGAUCAACUUUUGCACUUGAUUCACGAGAAAUAUACUACGGUCCUCUCGAAAUACACUACGACACGAACGAAACCGUCUACAAAAGUGAAAACAGGCCCUGAAAAUAUUGUAGUAUCCGGGGUGAAUACACGAAAAAGAGGCUCUACGAUUUU
rfam:Leucania separata nuclear polyhedrosis virus strain AH1, complete genome.